rnacentral:rRNA from 1 species
CGCGACCCCAGGUCAGGCGGGGCUACCCGCUGAGUUUAAGCAUAUCAAUAAGCGGAGGAAAAGAAACUAACGAGGAUUCCCUAAUAA